ensembl:ncRNA F09F9.14 ncRNA
UCCCUCCAGCUUUUGAAACAUGUUUUUCCAUGUUUUGCGGUUGCUAUGUUUGCUCGUUGUGUUCGCGCACCUAUUAGCUGCAUCUCUAAGUAUUGUCCGCAUUCAUUGUCACAUUAUUAAUUCAUUUUGUGCUCUUCCGACUAAA